rnacentral:rRNA from 1 species
ACGGAAGGCAGCAGUGGGGCAUCUUGGGCAAUGGGCGCAAGCCUGACCCAGCAACGCCGCGUGAAGGAAGAAGGCUUUCGGGUUGUAAACUUCUUUUGUCAGGGAAGAGAAGAAGACUGUCCCAGGCGAAUACGCCACGGCUAACUACGUGCCAGCAGCCGCGGUAAUACGUAGGUGGCAAGCGUUGUCCGGAUUUACUGGGGGUAAAGGGCGUGUAGCCGGGUCGGUAAGUCAGAUGUGAAAUCUACGGGCUCAACUCGUAAACGGCAGUUGAAACUGCUGAUCUUGAGUAUCGGAGAGGCAAGCGGAAUUCCUAGUGUAGCGGUGAAAUGCGUAGAUAUUAGGAGGAACACCAGUGGCGAAGGCGGAUUGCUGGACGACAACUGACGGUGAGGCGCGAAAGCGUGGGGAGCAAACAGGAUUAGAUACCCUGGUA